AAAAAGAUAAGCUAAAUAAAGCUAAUGGGUUCAUACCUCAUUUAUAAAGGUAUGACCCCUUUUCUUUUUA
rnacentral:tRNA from 1 species